UAGUGUUAAUUGUAUUUGUGGGCUGCAGGCCUUUGUAACAACUGACUGCCUGCAGACUGCUAAUACUCUAAUAAAGACUCCAAGAUUUGAUCCUUCAAUAUGUGGCCUCUCGGAUAAUUCACUAUAUAACAAAUUAGAAUGGUGCCUGA